rnacentral:tRNA from 1 species
AGAAAGGUAAGCUAUAUCAAGCUAGCGGAUUCAUAAUCCUUUGAAACAUUUUUAUGUCCUUUCCU